rnacentral:rRNA from 2 species
CUGCUAGUCGAGCGGACAGAUGGGAGCUUGCUCCCUGAAGUCAGCGGCGGACGGGUGAGUAACACGUGGGCAACCUGCCUGUAAGACUGGGAUAACUCCGGGAAACCGGGGCUAAUACCGGAUAAUUCUUUCCCUCACAUGAGGGAAAGCUGAAAGAUGGUUUCGGCUAUCACUUACAGAUGGGCCCGCGGCGCAUUAGCUAGUUGGUGAGGUAACGGCUCACCAAGGCAACGAUGCGUAGCCGACCUGAGAGGGUGAUCGGCCACACUGGGACUGAGACACGGCCCAGACUCCUACGGGAGGCAGCAGUAGGGAAUCUUCCGCAAUGGACGAAAGUCUGACGGAGCAACGCCGCGUGAGUGAUGAAGGUUUUCGGAUCGUAAAACUCUGUUGUUAGGGAAGAACAAGUACCGGAGUAACUGCCGGUACCUUGACGGUACCUAACCAGAAAGCCACGGCUAACUACGUGCCAGCAGCCGCGGUAAUACGUAGGUGGCAAGCGUUGUCCGGAAUUAUUGGGCGUAAAGCGCGCGCAGGCGGUUCCUUAAGUCUGAUGUGAAAGCCCCCGGCUCAACCGGGGAGGGUCAUUGGAAACUGGGGAACUUGAGUGCAGAAGAGAAGAGUGGAAUUCCACGUGUAGCGGUGAAAUGCGUAGAGAUGUGGAGGAACACCAGUGGCGAAGGCGACUCUUUGGUCUGUAACUGACGCUGAGGCGCGAAAGCGUGGGGAGCAAACAGGAUUAGAUACCCUGGUAGUCCACGCCGUAAACGAUGAG